AAGUGAUAAGUAGAAUUUAAAGUUUCAAUUUAUUGCUGUAUGUUACUACAUUCGUUUUUAAUUUUCCCUACAGCACGCUGUUAUAAUUAAAUUCUUUUCUAAAAUACCCAGUUUGUUAUACAACACAACCCAUCAUCAAUAUAUUGUUACGCUACUAUCGUAGAAUAUCGUAAAUUAGCAAAGUUCACGUAUGAUAUUAAGAAAAAAGAUGGCUGAACUUUACUUUAGGGGUACAAAAAUCAUUGGCUUCUUUAUUUGCAAUGUUAUAGUUUUUAAUAUAUACAAUUCGAAGAUGCAAGUUUUAAGAUACUAAAAUUCUAAGAUAAGAAAGCAGAGAGGAAAUUCUCUCUGGUAAAAUUGAGCAUUUUUAGGGUAUUUUAAUAUUACUUAACGCCAUAUUAGCUGCUACUUAUGAUUUGUCCAAUGAAUGGAGUCUGUAGAGCCACUGACUGCACGCGGAUGGCGAUCAUUUUGGCGGGAUAAGUCAGUCAAAUGUGUAUAACUGUAUGUAUUUUGCAUAUGUUUAGUUUCUCGGCUUGGUAUAACUUAUCCUGGCUGGUUGCAGUCAAAACAGUCAAGCAAAACAUGGAAUUUGUAUGUAGCUGAAUUUGAGUUUAAUUUGGGGUAAUAUUUAUUUUCUGUUACGUUACAUUAAUACAAACUAAUUUUUUGCGAAUUUAACUACAUCUACUGAUGGUACAUGUACACAAAAAAUAGAAUCAAAUUGCCGGCCAACUAAGAACUGGAUGUGGAGGAGGAGUUACUUCUAUGACGAUGAAUUUGUCCAUCGCCUAUGUGAAAUUUUGUGACAACUCCGUCAUAACAUUGAUUUGAUGACAUUGCUAGUUGAAACGACCCGAAAAGUCCACGGUCAUAUAUACAGAUCCGGGAACUCUGUUGGAGGAGAUAAGACUUUUAAUGUCGGGAAUUGUGCUUUACAAAUCGGCUAGCAUAGAAGACCGAUCGAGAAGUUAGGAUUUUGUAUGUAACACCAUCCUUCGAUAAAAGUAUUGAAAAUAAAGAAUAUAGAUUAAACCA